UAGCGGGNUANUNACCUGAUCCGAGGUCAACCUUGUAAAAAGAGCUGCGCGUCAUGCGCGUUUUCACGGCAGGGCGCCUGGGGGGCGUCCGGAGCGAGGGGAGAACAUGCGUUCGGUACUGCGCUCGGAGCCUUCCACAGGGCCCGCCACUCGCUUUCGGGGGCCCCCCGCCAGGCGGAGGGCGCCCCAACACCAGCGCGCAACGGGGCGCGUGAGGGGGGAAAUGACGCUCGGACAGGCAUGCCCGCCAGAAUGCUGGCGGGCGCAAUGUGCGUUCAAAGAUUCGAUGGUUCGCUGAAUUCUGCAAUUCACAUUACGUAUCGCAUUUCGCUGCGUUCUUCAUCGAUGCA
rnacentral:misc_RNA from 1 species